rnacentral:lncRNA from 1 species
GGUUUUUAAGCAAUAACACAUUUCUGGUUUUUGCUUGCUAAGGAUAUCAGACGCCUUGCUCAUGCUAUCUAUAGUCCGGAUUGCGAUGUUUCGGGCUUGGCUAAUGCUCACCUUAUGAAACAGUGGGGGUCGAUAUAUUCGCAACCUCCCCCAUCAGUUCUUAAAGCUUAAUUCUGACGCGUCUGUGGUAGGGCAGUAGGCUUU